rnacentral:rRNA from 1 species
AACGAACGCUGGCGGCAUGCCUAACACAUGCAAGUCGAACGAGACCUUCGGUCUAGUGGCGCACGGUGCGUAACGCGUAUGCAACCUACCUUAUACUGGGGGAGUAGCCCGGAGAAAUCUGGAUUAAUACCCCAUGGCACAUAUUGAUGGCAUCUGAGAUAUGUUAAAGAUUUAUUGGUAUAAGAUGGGCAUGCGUCUGAUUAGCUAGUUGGCGGUGUAACGGACCACCAAGGCGACGAUCUGUAGGGGUUCUGAGAGGAAGGUCCCCCCACACUGGCACUGAGAUACGGCCCAGACUCGUGAUGCU